rnacentral:lncRNA from 13 species
UCAGCGAAGUGUUAAAUCUACCUAUGACCUGUAAGACUCUGCUUGAAGAUAUCCUGCCUUUUAGGCCAAACCAACAUUUGGUAUUGAUUUGACACUUUGCCUCUAAGUAUUGAUUUGAGAUUUUGCCUGUAAUGUCUGCUUUCUUGAUAAUUUCCCUCGAUUUUACAAACCCUUGCUUGCCAGGCAUGGGGUAGGUUAGGCUUUAAGAAUGAGCUGCCUGGUUCUCCUGGUCCAGUACCCUAAAAAUAAACACCCUUCUUUCUACCACUCCAAACCUCGAUGUGGGUGUUUGGCCUUCGUGUGUUGGGGCCCUGUGAUUACCCUGGACCACCUGGCUCAUGCGGAACCCUCAGGUGACAGGAAGACAUGGGGGAGCUCUCCAGCCAAUGUGGUACAUGCUGAUGCAGGGCAGUCUUCAAUGACCGUCAGACGAAACUCCUGCCACCUCCAGAAUUCAGUGGAUGCCUGCAUGAGUCGGGGUGAAAUGGCAUCCUGGACCUCUCACAUGCCAUUCGUCCCAGACCCGUUUGUCUCAGCACCACUUGUUGCAAGAGUAUCCUUACCCUGUUGAUUUACCCUCGCACUUUUGUGAAAACUCAGUUGUCACGUGGGUGGACCUGCUUUUGCUCUGUAUUUUGAGUCAUUGUUCUGUCAAUAGCACACUAUCUUGAUAACUGUCGUUUUAUAAUAAAUCCUGGUGGAUAACAAUUUUAGCA